GAUGAACGCUAGCUACAGGCUUAACACAUGCAAGUCGAGGGGCAGCAUGACGAUAGCUUGCUAUUGUCGAUGGCGACCGGCGCACGGGUGAGUAACGCGUAUCCAACCUUCCCGUUGCUAGGGGAUAACCUUGCGAAAGUAAGACUAAUACCCUAUGAAGUUCUUCGCAGACAUCUAAAGAGAACGAAAGAUUUAUCGGCAACGGAUGGGGAUGCGUCUGAUUAGGUUGUUGGCGGGGUAACGGCCCACCAAGCCCACGAUCAGUAGGGGUUCUGAGAGGAAGGUCCCCCACAUUGGAACUGAGACACGGUCCAAAACUCCUACGGGAGGCAGCAGUGAGGAAUAUUGGUCAAUGGACGGAAGUCUGAACCAGCCAAGUAGCGUGCAGGAUGACGGCCCUAUGGGUUGUAAACUGCUUUUAUGUGGGAAUAAAGUGAGGGACGUGUCCCUUUUUGUAGGUACCACAUGAAUAAGGACCGGCUAAUUCCGUG
rnacentral:rRNA from 1 species